GUCUACGGCCAUGCCACCCUGAACACGCCUGAUCCUGUCUGAUCUCUGAAGAUAGGCUGUUUAGCACUUGGAUGGGAGGCCACCUAGAAGACCAGGUGCUGUAGGUG
rnacentral:rRNA from 1 species